GGCUCGGUGGUGGAUGGUCCACAUCUGUUUCAGUUUAACGACUUUGACUUACAGUAAGCAGAACAAGCCUGUUCAAAUCAGGCCUGAGCCA